AACGAACGCUGGCGGCAUGCCUAACACAUGCAAGUCGAACGAAGCCUUCGGGCUUAGUGGCGCACGGGUGCGUAACGCGUGGGAAUCUGCCCCUUGCUUCGGAAUAACAGUUAGAAAUGACUGCUAAUACCGGAUGAUGUCUUCGGACCAAAGAUUUAUCGGCAAGGGAUGAGCCCGCGUAGGAUUAGGUAGUUGGUGGGGUAAAGGCCUACCAAGCCGACGAUCCUUAGCUGGUCUGAGAGGAUGAUCAGCCACACUGGGACUGAGACACGGCCCAGACUCCUACGGGAGGCAGCAGUGGGGAAUAUUGGACAAUGGGGGGAACCCUGAUCCAGCAAUGCCGCGUGAGUGAUGAAGGCCUUAGGGUUGUAAAGCUCUUUUACCAGGGAUGAUAAUGACAGUACCUGGAGAAUAAGCUCCGGCUAACUCCGUGCCAGCAGCCGCCGUAA
rnacentral:rRNA from 1 species